GUCAUUCUCAAGGAGCUUGGGACUAAUCCCAAAAGAGUAAAGAUGGUGUAAGUGUUACCAUCUUGCUAUGUGCAUGGACAGUGUGCCUCAUCUGGCUCAUGGGAUAUACAAACAUUCAUCCAAUCAAUAAAAAAACUGCAGGAAGCCAGGCACACUGGCUCAUGGAGCUUUCUUUUUUGAUGUAGGAGUUUAUUGCUGUCAACUUUCUUGGAAGGGCUGCUUUUGGUGUAUCCCAUAGGCUUUAGUAUAUUGUGUUUCCAUUUUCAUUUGCUUCAAGAAAUUUUUAAAUGUCCCUUUUAAUUUCUUCACUGACCCAUUGAUUGUUCAGGGGCAUUUGUGACAAAACAAUUAACAAUAGUUACUGUGGGAGAUGGCAAGAUCAGCAUGACCCCUGCUGGGGACCUGCUGUAAGUGACCUGGGGACAGAUCCUAUACCAGGGGCUGUACAAGCAUUUUCUAAUUUAUGUCUCACAGCAAUUUCAUGAAGGAGGUUAUGGCACCAUUUUAAAGAAGAAAAAGAAAUAUGUUAACAAAAUUGCUUAAGAAGUGAUGUUUGUCUCAAGAUAUUUUUUAGUUUCCCUUUUAAUUUCAUCAUCAACCCAUUAGUUAUUCAGGAGCAUGUUGUUUAAUUUCCAUAUAUCUGUGAAUUUUCUUAAGUUCCUCCUGUUAUUUAUUUCUAGUUUGAUGCCAUCAUCAGAAAAGAUACUUGAUAUGAUUUCACACUUCUUAAAUCUGUUAACACUUGUUUUGUGGUCUAACAUAUGAUCUACCUGGAGAAUGUUCCAGGUGCAGUUGAAAAGUGUGUAUUCUACAGCUGUUGGAUGGAAUGUUCUGUAUAUGUCUGAUACAUCCAUUUGGUCUAAACUGUAGUUUAAGUCUGAUGCUUCCUUAUUGAUUUCCUGUCUGGAUCAUUGUCCAUUGCUGGAAGUAAGGUGGUGGAAGUCCUCUACUAUGAAUGCAUUGCAGUCAAUCUGUCCAUUCAGAUCCAUUAAUAUUUGCUUUAUAUAUUUAGGCAUUCCAAUGCUGGGUGCAUAUAUAUUUAUAAUUGUUAAGACCUCUUGAUGAAUUGAUCCCUUUAUCAUUAUAAAAUGAUGUUUGUUGUCUCCAUUAAAAGUUUUGAACUUAAAGUCUAUUUUAUCUGACAUAAGUAUAGCUACUCCUGCCACUCUUUAGAUUUCCAUUAGCAUGGAGUAUCUUUUUCCAUCCCUUCACUUUCAGUCUAGGCAUGUCCUUGCAGGUGAGGUGAGUCUCUUGUAGACAGCAUACUAUUGAGAUCGGUUUUUUUUUUUAACCCAUUCACGCACUCUAUGUCUUUUGAUUGGAGAAUUUAAACCCUUUACUUUCAAGGUUAUUAUUGAUAGGUAAGAACUUACUACUGCCAUUUGGUUGUUUUAUAGACUCUUUGUUCCUUCCGUCCUCUCUUACUAUCUUCCUUUGAGGUUAAGUGAUAUUCUCUAGUAGUAUGUUUUGAUUCCUUGCUUUUUAUUUUUUGUGUAUCUACUAAAGGUUCUUCUUUGUGGUUACCAUGAGGCUUAUAAAAAGAAUCUUAUAGUUAUAACAGGUUAUUUUAUGCUGAUGACAACUUUGAUCACACACACAAAUUGACCUCUACACUUCUAGUCCAUUCCCCACUCAUAUUAUGAAUUGUUUAUGUCACCAUUUACAUCUUUUUAUAUUGCAUAUCCCCCCUGCAAGUUAUUGUAGUUAUUAUUUUUUAAGUAUUAUCUUUUAACUUUCAUAUUAAAGAUAUGUAUGACCAUUACAGUAUUCAUGUAUUCUGAAUUUGACUGUGUAUUUAUUUUACUAGUCUUAUCCUUUCAUAUGUUUUCAAUUAAUCACUAGUGUCCUUUUCUUUCAGCUUAAAAACUCUCUUUAGCAUUUCUUAUAAGACAUGUCUAGUGGUGAUGAACUCCCUCAGCUUUUGUUUCUCUGGUAAAGUCUUUUAUCUUGCCUUCAUUUUUGAUGGCCAGUUCUGCUGGGUAUAGCAAUCUUGGUUGGCAGGUUGUUUUCCCUCAGCAUGGUGAAUAUAUCAUCCCACUCUCUCCUGGCCUGUAAGUUUCUGCUGAGAAGUCUGCUGCUAGCUGAAGUGGAGCUCCCUUACAUGUUAUUUGCUUCUUUUCUCUUUUUGCUUUCCAAAUCCCCAUUGUCUGUGAUGUUUGACAGUGUGAUUAUGUUCUGGAGUAGUCUUGUUUGAAUUGACUCUGAUUGGAGUCAUUUGUCCUUCCUGUACCUGGAUAUUUAUAUCUUUCUCCAGGUUUGGAGAGUUUUCUGCUACUAUUUCUUUAAAUAAGCUUUCUACCUCUUUAUCUUUCUCUUCCCCUAGAUGAACUCCAAUUCAAAUACCACGUCUUUUGAUGCUGUUGCAUAAAUCCUAUAGGCAUUCUUCAUUCCUUUUUAUCCACUUUUUUAUUUUUCCUCCUCUGUAUAUUUUCAAAUAAUCUGUCUUCAAGUUCAAGGAUUAUUUCUUCUACUUGAUCAGUUCUACUCUUGGUGCUCUCUAUUACAUUUUUCAUUUUGUUCAAAGUAUUUUUUAGCUUCAGAAUUUCUGUUUGCUUCUCUGUUAAAUAUCUCAAUCUAGUCACUUAUUGUUUUCCUCAUUUCUUUGAAUUCUUUAUCUGUAUUUUCUUAAAGUUUGCUAGGCUUCCUUAAAACAUGUAUUUUGAAUUCUCUGUCAGACAGUUCAUACAUCUCCCAUCUCUUUAUGGUCAACCACUUGCACUUUAUUUUGUUUCUCUGGUAAUAUCACGUUUCCCUGAUUAUUCUUGAUCCUUGUGACUCUGUGUUGAUGUCUGUAUAUUUGAAGAAGUAGGUUCUUAUUCCAAUCAUUGUAGAUUGGCUUCCUCUGGAAAUGCCCUUCAACAGUAAGCCUGUCCAGUGAUUUCUGGGAAGACCAUCUGGUAUGGUCCCAACCUCUAAGCCCAAAUUUUUGUAACAAUAAUUAACAUAAGCUUGCUAGGAAUUUUUCUUUUUUUUUUUUUUUUUUUUUUUUUUUUUGAGACAGAGUCUCACUCUGUCGGGAGUGCAGUGGCACCAUCUCCACUCACUGCAACCUCUGCCUCCUGGGUUCAAGCAAUUCUCCUGCCUCAGCCUCCCGAGUAGCUGGGAUUACAGGCAUGCAUGACCACACCCGGCUAAUUUUUGUAUUUUUAACAGAGACGGGGUUUUGCCAUGUUGGCCAGGCUGGCCUUGAACUCCUGACCUCAGGUGAUCACCCACCUUAGCCUCCCAAAGUGCUGUGAUUACAGGCAUGAGCCACUGUGCCCAGCCCCUUAGGAAUUUCUAAAAGUUUCUCAUAUUACCCU
rnacentral:lncRNA from 1 species